AACAGUAACUCAUACGUGUCGUGAACCGAAAUGUCGGAGAAAGAAAGACGAAGAAGCAAAGAAUUUAACGUUUUAUUUUGUAUUUUUGUUCCAUUUUUUCAUAGACGUUUUCCAUUUAUAUUUUUUUUUCUGCUCUGUAAAGAAUUAAAGUUUCUUCUUUAUGAAUUCAUAAUUUUGUAUGAAUCAUAGCUUUCUCUGCACAUUGAAAAGUUUUCUCCUUUCGAUUCAUUCUUUACACACAAAAAAAAAAAUCACCUUUUUUGUUUGUUUGUUAGGUUUAAUUUGAUUUGAUCUCUUUUAGGUUUGUUGUUUGGGGGGUUCUCUACUGUAGUAUUAGAUCGAGGGUUUUAGAGUGAAAAAGAAUGGGAUCUUCUUCAGGGCAAAGUGGUGGAUAUGAUCUAUCUUUCAAGAUCCUGUUGAUUGGAGAUUCUGGUGUUGGUAAAAGUAGCUUGCUUCUCAGCUUCAUUUCCAGCUCUGUCGAAGAUCUUGCUCCCACCAUUGGUUAUUUUCUCUCCCGGAACAAAAUUUAACUGAGUUUGUCUCUCAACAUUUGUUUUUGCAUUGGAAGACUGGCGCUUAUAGUUUGCGUCUUUGUGAAUCACUGUGAAUCACUGUCCCACCAGUCUCUCUAAGUGUGUGUCCACAAACUCUCACGCAACUUAGGCCAUAUUUAUCGGUGGAUCAGUUAGGGUACGCAACUUAGGCCAUAUUUAUCGGUGGAUCAGUUAGGGUGAUCUUGGGUCUUUUAAAAUUGAAAUUAAUUGAAUAGUACCCAUAAGAUCAGCCCAAUUGAUUUUGAAUAAGAUCAGUUCUUCAUCUGAUCUAAGGGUCACGUGUCACUCUCGGAAAAAAAACUUUCGUUUUAUUUUUCUUUUCUUUCGAACAUAAUUUUCUUCUUCUUCUCUCGCGAAAAAGAAAAGCGAAACGGCGAGAGAUUUUUUUUCCCUCACCGUCGUCUCCUCUGUCCGGCCAUUGAAACACCGAGGCGACCGAUCUCCUCGUCUCCUCGUCUCCUCGUUUUCUCGUGUCCACCGAUUCUCGUCGUCUCCUCUCUCUCCUCUGUCUCGCGAAAUCUAGAGAUCUCCUCUAUGUCGCCAAGCUCAAGAUCUCGUCGUCUUCUCUGUCUCCUCUGUCUCGUCGGCUAGGUGAGGUUAAGCAGGGCGAUUUAAAUCGGACCACCAUCAACAACAUUCCUUACUCGAAAGUAAAAGGCAUGGACUCUUUAUACGACUACGGUAUAAACAGCCCAUUAGACGGUAGUAGCGAUUCAGAAGAGGAGGUUGAGAUCUCUUACUAUCCUCUGGAACCAGCUCCUGCGAUUGGAUUCACAAGUCUAUCGAGCCGUGAGACUCAACUGAACCAGCUCAACGACCAAGUAAUCCAGCUCAACGACCAAAUGAUCCAGCUCAAGGUACUUGUGAUCCAGCUCAAGGACCAAGUGAUCCAGCUCAAGGACCAAGUGAUCCAGCUCAAGGACGAAGUCAUCCAGCUCAAGGACGAAGUGAUCCAGCUCAAGUAAAUUUGUCUCAUUUUCUGUUGUUGUUGUUUGCUUCCGAAAGGUGAACCCGUG